AUACGUAGGGGGCGAGCGUUGUCCGGAAUCAUUGGGCGUAAAGCGCGUGUAGGCGGCCAUGCAAGUCCGAUGUGAAAGCUCGGGGCUCAACUCCGAGUCUGCAUUGGAAACUGCGUGGCUUGAGUCCGGAAGAGGAGACUGGAAUUCCUGGUGUAGCGGUGAAAUGCGCAGAUAUCAGGAAGAACACCGGUGGCGAAGGCGGGUCUCUGGGACGGUACUGACGCUGAGACGCGAAAGCGUGGGGAGCAAACAGGAUUAGAUACCCUGGUAGUCCACGCCGUAAACGAUGGGCACUAGGUGUGGGAGGUGUCGACUCCUUCCGUGCCGUAGCUAACGCAUUAAGUGCCCCGCCUGGGGAGUACGGCCGCAAGGCUAAA
rnacentral:rRNA from 1 species